rnacentral:lncRNA from 1 species
AGCUGCUGCUGAGGAGAGGUACUGCGCAAUUGGAACGAUCCCAAGCAAUGAUGUCAUCUAUGAAAACACCAUCGUCACGAACUAGUCGCUCUCGUAACUAUGGAUACCGAUAUCAUCACGUGACCUGGACACACAUAUCUGCAUCAGCGAUUAGUAUUUACCAUAGAUGUUAACACCUUAAUACCUUUCGGCUAUGUUUACGAUUUUCGGCCCCGUGCCGAUUCAACAAGACCACUGCAUCUUGGCUCUACCUAAUUGGCUUCUCUCCCGUUGAUCUCGUCUUAUUGUUAUCAUCUUAUUGUUAUCAUCUUAUAGUUAUCCUCUUAUUGUUAUCCUCUUAUUGUCAUGACAUCUGACAUUACGUUGAUUUGUUAUAUGUACUCCGUGUGAUGACUCAUUAUUCACCUGACGAUGGUCAAGAAGUAAUUAAAGACAAUUUAACAUGUUCAUGUUCUUCCAUGUAAAUGUCCAACAAUGACCAUAUGCGUAGCAAGUCUUGAUUGUUUUAACCAUUUUCAUUUAAUCCCACAACAAUGACAACAGUUGUCAGUUACAUACCUUGUAGUGAUGGUCAUUACUUAGUUCUCAUUAUACAUCGCCUUUUCCUUAGAGGGAAAACCUGUCAUCAUUUGUUUUAUGCUUGAUAUGUAUGAUGUGUACCAUUUCCUGAGCAACGCAACUGGUAGUCUAGAUCACCUAUUUUCAGUGCCCUGUGACAAUUGGCUCCCAUAGCCCGUUGUCACAUUUCAGUCCAGACGUCUGUGUACUUUACCGAGAACGUGUAAUCUUAAAUAUACAUAACCUAUUUUACAUUUCAAAACCUUCUAAAAGGCACCUUUGUCGCAUGAAAACACAAGAACUCUUUCGUUUAGUUGUUCGCAGUAUUUUGUAAAAGUCUAUCACUCUGAAACAUGAUUCCACUUAAUGUCUCACUGACAAAAACGUUGACUUAACAUAGGUCAAAGAAAGGUUGGUUGGAAAAGCAACACAAGAAGCCUUGUUCGAUGUUUCAUAAGGGUUUGUCAGAUGUUGGCACAAGUUGCUACCUCUUUUUCAUUGUGUGUGGUUAUAUGCUCAUGACCUUCCAGUUAAAUGUCAGCUAUUAACCUCAGUACACAGCAAUAUAUUCCCACGUCAUUUUAGUCAUUGUCCACAGCAGUUUUGUAAUGUAAUGAUGUAUAGUGCACCCUGGUUAUAAUGUCCCUGGUUAUAGUGCCACCCUUGAAAUAAUGCCACAUGUUUGCCAGAACGGAUUUCCUGCCUUUAUAACACCCUGGUUAUAAUGCUCCUGGUUAUAAUGCCUAACUGGAUAUAAUGCCAUUUGCCAAUGUUUCUUGGAAGAAGCGUCAUUUUUCCCUGGUUAUAAUGCCAAUUACAUUGGCUGUAUGUAGUAUACAUACCUAAAUUGGUUACUUGACAUGACCCAAAUUAAUUGGACAAACUCAUUAAUGCUUUAAGUAGUCAACACAUGUGACAAUACACUUCCUGCCAUCUACAACAAGUCACUUCCAGUCCCAAGAUGCUGGGAUUAUCCAGUCAUUUAAGGCCUGUUUGAGAGAUGAGCUCAGUGACCCUGUUGACAAUGGCGUACCACCAACCAUCCUGUUGAGGUAUUACCUGGUUACAAGACCCUCCUGGAUAUAAUGCCAUAUAUGGACCACCAAACGGAGGCAUUCUAAUUAGAAACAGGGUAUAACUUUCCACAACAUUUUUCAAUUUAAUGACGUACAUAUUAAAGUUAACAUUAUAUUCGUUUUUUAUCCCUUUGGUGGAGCUUGUUAUCCUUUUUUCUGUAUGAUAUUAUAUAUAUAUAUAUAUAUUUCUUCUAUCAUGAAAAGGUGGACCUGUUUAGUAUCCCGAUUAUGUAGUGAUAUUGUAUCGUUCUGAAACUCAUUUCUAUUGUUGACCAAAAAAUACCGACCACCCCGUAAAAAAAAACAAAAAAAAUCUCAGCAUGAACACGAGGUCUCAUACAGGUUGAUUGGAUGUUAAAGCAUUCACAUUUAUGAUUUCCCAUGAAGUGUCUUUACCUAUAUUUGCCCAUAUACUUUUAUUUCAUUCCUCAAAAAUCAUUAUUGGAUUAAUAAGUAAAGCUUCUGUCAUUUU